rnacentral:rRNA from 1 species
UGGGGAAUAUUGCACAAUGGGCGCAAGCCUGAUGCAGCCAUGCCGCGUGUAUGAAGAAGGCCUUCGGGUUGUAAAGUACUUUCAGUCGGGAGGAAGGUGUCAAGGUUAAUAACCUUGGCAAUUGACGUUACCGACAGAAGAAGCACCGGCUAACUCCGUGCCAGCAGCCGCGGUAAUACGGAGGGUGCAAGCGUUAAUCGGAAUUACUGGGCGUAAAGCGCACGCAGGCGGUUUGUUAAGUCAGAUGUGAAAUCCCCGGGCUCAACCUGGGAACUGCAUCUGAUACUGGCAAGCUUGAGUCUCGUAGAGGGGGGUAGAAUUCCAGGUGUAGCGGUGAAAUGCGUAGAGAUCUGGAGGAAUACCGGUGGCGAAUGCGGCCCCCUGGACGAAGACUGACGCUCAGGUGCGAAAGCGUGGGGAGCAAACAGG